CCUACGGGUGGCAGCAGUGGGGAAUAUUGCACAAUGGGGGAAACCCUGAUGCAGCGACGCCGCGUGAGUGAAGAAGGCUUUCGGUAUGUAAAGCUCUUUCAGCAGGGAAGAAAAUGACGGUACCUGAUUAAGAAGCCCCGUCUAACUACGUUCCAGCAGCCGCGGUACUACGUAGGGGGCAAGCGUGAUCCGGAUUUACUGGGUGUAAAGGGAGAGUAGACGGCAGCACAAGUCUGGAGUGAAAUGCCGGGGCUUAACCCCGGAACUGCUUUUGAAACUGUGCAGCUUGAGUGCAGGAGAGGUAAGUGGAAUUCGUAGUGUAGCGGUGAAAUGCGUAGAUAUUAGGAGGAACACCAGUGGCGAAGGCGGCUUACUGGACUGUAACUGACGUUGAGGCUCGAAAGCGUGGGGAGCGAACAGGAUUAGAUACCCCUGUAGUC
rnacentral:rRNA from 1 species